CAUACGACCGUACCGCAAACCGACACUGGUGCGCGAGAUGAGUAUUCUAAGGCGCUUGAGAGAACUCAGGAGAAGGAACUCGGCAAAUUGACACCGUAACUUCGGAAGAAGGUGUGCCCUAUUAGUGUGUAGUGAACAACGAAGCAUGAAUGGGUUGCAAAAAAUCGGUGGCUGCGACUGUUUAUUAAAAACACAGCACUCUGCAAACACGAAAGUGGACGUAUAGGGUGUGACGCCUGCCCGGUGCUGGAAGAUUAAAUGAUGGGGUGCAAGCUCUUGAUUGAAGUCCCAGUAAACGUCGGCCGUAACUAUAACGGUCCUAAGGUAGCGAAAUUCCUUGUCGGGUAAGUUCCGACCUGCACGAAUGGCGUAACGAUGGCCACACUGUCUCCUCCUGAGACUCAGCGAAGUUGAAAUGUUUGUGAUGAUGCAAUCUCCCCGCGGAAAGACGGAAAGACCCCAUGAACCUUUACUGUAGCUUUGUAUUGGACUUUGAACAGAUCUGUGUAGGAUAGGUGGGAGGCUUUGAAGCAGGGUCGCUAGAUCUUGUGGAGCCAACGUUGAAAUACCACCCUGGUGUGUUUGAGGUUCUAACCUAGGUCCAUUAUCUGGAUCGGGGACAGUGCAUGGUAGGCAGUUUGACUGGGGCGGUCUCCUCCCAAAGCGUAACGGAGGAGUUCGAAGGUACGCUAGUUACGGUCGGACAUCGUGACGAUAGUGCAAUGGCAUAAGCGUGCUUAACUGCGAGACUGACAAGUCGAGCAGAUGCGAAAGCAGGACAUAGUGAUCCGGUGGUUCUGUAUGGAAGGGCCAUCGCUCAACGGAUAAAAGGUACUCUGGGGAUAACAGGCUGAUACCGCCCAAGAGUUCAUAUCGACGGCGGUGUUUGGCACCUCGAUGUCGGCUCAUCUCAUCCUGGGGCUGUAGCCGGUCCCAAGGGUAUGGCUGUUCGCCAUUUAAAGAGGUACGUGAGCUGGGUUUAAAACGUCGUGAGACAGUUUGGUCCCUAUCUUCCGUGGGCGCUGCAGAUUUGAGGAAGCCUGCUCCUAGUACGAGAGGACCGGAGUGGACACACCUCUGGUGUAUCGGUUGUCACGCCAGUGGCAUUGCCGAGUAGCUAAGUGUGGAAGAGAUAACCGCUGAAAGCAUCUAAGCGGGAAACUCGUUUCAAGAUGAGAUCUGCCGGGGCCUUGAGCCCCCUAAAGAGUCGUUCAAGACCAGGACGUUGAUAGGUCAGGUGUGGAAGCCA
rnacentral:rRNA from 1 species